UACGAAGGGGGCUAGCGUUGUUCGGAAUUACUGGGCGUAAAGGGCGCGUAGGCGGCGAAGCAAGUUAGGCGUGAAAGCCCCGGGCUCAACCUGGGAAUUGCGCUUGAUACUGCUUUGCUUGAGUUCGGGAGAGGUGAGUGGAAUUCCCAGUGUAGAGGUGAAAUUCGUAGAUAUUGGGAAGAACACCGGUGGCGAAGGCGGCUCACUGGACCGAUACUGACGCUGAGGCGCGAAAGCGUGGGGAGCAAACAGG
rnacentral:rRNA from 1 species